rnacentral:lncRNA from 1 species
GCCCUGAAUCAAGUCAAGAAGUCAGCAUGUGGGAGCUGACGAGCCUGAUCAGGGCACCCAUCUGGAGUGGCUGCCCAAGAGCCAGCACCCAGCAACAGAAUGGACAGCAGGGACAAGGGUGACUGAGAGUUCAGGAUGGAGGGUGGGAGGGGGCCCUGUGCACUUUUAUAGGGCAGCUGCCACCUUGUCCAAGGAUGGGGAGGAGACUGUCCGGGGCACCAGGCAGGCAGGCAGCGCCAGGGUGUGCAUAAAUCAGUGAUAGUUCCUCCUCCAGGACUGUCCUGUUGGCAAGAAAUGUGGGGAGACUUUGCUGAGAACCAAGUGGGGAGAUCAAAGGCAAGGAUAUUAGAGGCUUCGCCCUUCGGGGACAGAGCGUGAUUUAUGUGGUUUUUAUAGAGUCAGACGACCUUGCCUUGAAAUCUCUGAUUUGGCUUUAAUGAGUGACAGUCUUGAUUUCUUAAUCUGUACAAUGGGCACAAUAGCUCCUAUUGCAUGUUAUUAUGGCACUGAUCUGAGCUAAAUGCGCAAGUGCCCAAGAGGGGCUGGCACAUAGUAGGCGUCCUAUUAGUGCGAAUUCCCCAAUACCCACCUUGUCCCCUUUCCCUUUGAAACCAUGGAGACCUGACUGGAGCACAGGGGAGGAGGCGAACUGGGAGGGGGGCAUGGGGGGGGUGUCUCUGCAACUGUCAUCGGGGACUGACAUCCAAGCCCCUGUCAUUUGAGAGGCACCAGGAGAACCCACCCAUGUGGGAAGUCCCCCAGCCAGAUGGUGACUUGUGGGGUGUAACUUAAUAGCCUCUUGGAUUAAGGGCCUCGGAAAUGCUUUGUGGCCGUGGGAGAGUUGGGGGUCCGCGGGUUUGGCUGCCGUGUCUGGAAGAACACACGCACGCCCCGCGCUAAGCGCCCUGCGGGGGGGGGGGGGGAGUUGCCCACUGGGCGAGGGCGGGGAAGGCUGGGCCCUGUGAUUUUCCAACUAUUGUCAAACACAGAGCCCUGGGCUUUGGCAGGCCAGAUGGCAAAUGAGCUGUCUCGAGGUGACAGGGGACCUGAUGGGCUCUGGCUUCGUGGCACACGCGGUGUCCCAGGAUGCCACCUGUGCAGUCGCACUUGUUUACACUUUCGCUUCCAAAGCGAGGCACACAGGCGGCUCUCACAGCCAUUUGGAUGGUUAACAAGCACUUACUGACAAAGAGGAGAAAAUUCAGACGUCGUGGGCCAAUUCCUGGCAAAUAGGGCUGCGGUUGCCAAUUUUUUUAGACGCCUUGCAGUUGUGUCUUUAAGAUUGUAUCUCCUCUUGGCCACAUUUCCUGUUUGAUUGCGGAGGCUUUUGCUCCCCUUCUCCUCCUCCCAGGGUCUUGCAUUGGUUCAAGAGUGUUAUCAUCACAGCAAUCGCCCUUUCUUUCUUUCUUUCUGAACCUGAUGUUUGGAAUCAAAUAGAACUGAGUUCAAAUUGUGCCUCCAUCCUAGCGUGAUGUGCAGUGAUGGCUUUGCUCCUCUUGCCUUCACAUACGUCAGGUUUUGUUUGUUGGUUUUAAGGAUUAAGAAGUAACAUAUGGAGUUCCCGUCCUGGCUCAGUGGUUGAGGAACCUGACUGGCAUCCAUGAGGACGCAGGUUCGAUCCCUGGCCUUGCUCAGUGGGUGAAGGCUGCAGCAUGGCCGUGAGCUGUGGUGUAGGUUGCAGAUGCGGCUCAGAUCCCACGUUGCUGUGGCUUGGCGUAGGCUGGUGGAUACAGCUCCGAUUGGACCCCUAGGCUGGGAACCUCCACAAGCCAUGGGUGCAGCCCUAAAAAGAGAGAGAUACAAAAAAUAAAAUUAAAAAAAAUCAAAAAAGAAGUAACAUAUGCAGACAUACAGCUGAGUAAAUGUACACUUAUUUCAGAUGACUUCCUUAUUUUAAAAAUAUUUUUAUUCCCAAACUCUUUGCAUGGCUCCACCUAAUAGGAGGUAAAACAAGGGCUCAGAGAGGUGAAGUAACUUGCCCAAGGACACACAGCAGUGAGCAGGCAUUCCAACCUGCCUUUUUGUUUGUCUUUUCAUUCCAAAAUAACUUGACUUGCAGAAUCAAAGCCGCUAAAAUUGCACAUACCCUCCCCCACCGGAUUCCCCAAAUGAUAACAUCAUACAUACACAUGGCACAAUUAUAAAAAUCAGAAAAUUAACAAGUAAUAUUAUGAUCUAAUUAUUUCACUCUACCGAAUGUCCCAUCCAUGUCCAUUUUCGGGUCUAGAAUCCAAUCCAGAAUCACAUCUCACAUUUAGUUCUCAUCCUGCUUUAGUCUGGAACAGUUCCUUCACUUUUCUAAGAUUUUCUUGACCUUGACAGUUUGAAGGGAAUAUAACAAGCUGGUUGUACUUUACAAAAUGCCCUUGGAUUUGGGUUUGUCUUAUCGUUCCUCACUCUUAAAUUCAGGCUGUACAUUUUUGGCAGAUGAAUCCCAGAAGUGACGUUAUGACUUUUUAAAACAAUUUUUAUUGACGUAUAGUUGACUCACAGUGUUAUAUUAGUGUCAGGCACACAGCAAAGUCAUUCAGUUACACUUAUACACAUAACGUCUUUCUGAGUGUGUUGCUUCAUGCUCAUUCGUUCCCUUACUGGUGACAUCAACACAGUCAUUUGGGUGUAGAUUCCAAGGCUUUUGGUCUUUCACCUGCAUCAUGCAACUCACGGUCUGAUUUCUAUAUAUUAUUCUCAAAUGCUCAGAACUCAUACCAUCAGGAAGGGACUUGAAAAUGAUAUUCAAUGAUGUUGCAACUCAGGAUGUUGCUUUUUACACUGGAGUUUGCUUGAGGGCACAGCCCAGUUUCGAACCUCCAGCACUUUUGUGCAUAGUACAAAGAGAAAGCCAAGGUGAUGUUAGCGGAAUGAAAAUAAAUAAACGGAAUCAUGAACACAUGAGUGAAUGGAAUUCUCCGUUCAGUCUGCUCCUUGAAAGCAGGAAAAUAGACUUUAUGUGUCCCUUUCUUUUCCGCAGUGCCUACAAACCGUGGGUACGCAAGUUUGAAGAAUACAACUGCCUAGUGGUUGUUUCCCGACUUUCAGGAGGAAGGGGAAAAUGACUGUUUUAUAU